CUUAAAUGGCUUUGUAGUCGAAGAAAUCGAUCCCAGGACUUAUUCCUUAUAAGCCUAGUAUUUAUUUCAUCCGUCCAUUUUGCUGAACCGCUAAAUUACGGGGACGUAAACACAGCAGCAUCAGUUGUCAAGCGAUGGUGGGGCGACAAACACAGACACAAAGACACACACAAACAUAAAUACACACAGACACACACACACACACAAACACACACAAACACACACACACACACACAUAUAUAUAUAUAUAUACGACAGGCUUCUUUCAGUUUCCGUCUACCAAAUCCACUCAUAAGGUUUCGGUCGGCGCAAGGGCUACAGUAGAAGACACCUGCCGGAGGUGUCACGCAGUGGGACUGAACCCGCAACUAUGCUUUUGGACAGCAAGCUUCUUACCACGUACACACACACACACGCGCGCACGUACGCAUGCACAUAGAUGCAUACACACUCAUAUACGGCUGACGAGCUGUUGACGGCAAAACUCAGUAGUCACAGUGACACCAUAAUUCUAUCAAAUAAAUUAUGCACACAUACUUACAGACACAUAUUUGCAUACGCCUUUUCACAGCUAUACUUGUGUGAGUGCGUUAAACAUUAGUCGUGCUCUAGGUAGCUGCUAGUUGUAACCUAACAUUAUUUAUAUAAGGUUAUCCUCGUCGUUGUGUGAUUCUCUCCUCUUCGUCAGUGCAUCGAUUGAUGAAAGAUCCUUCCAGCCUUGAAAAUCCUUUUCUUCUUAUAAAUUAAGGAUUACUUCAUCUUAAAUGUGUCUUAUUUGCUUAUUCUCUUUUACUUGUUUCAGUCAUUUGACUGCGGCCAUGCUGGAGCACCACCUUUAGUCGAGCAAAUCGACCCCAGGACUGAUUCUUUGUAAGCCUAGUACUUAUUCUAUCGGUCUAUUUUUGCCGAACUGCUAAGUUACGGGGACAUAAACACUCCAGCAUCGGUUGUCAAGCGAUGUUGGGGGGGGGGGGGACAAACACAGACACAGAAACACACGCACACACACACACACAAACAUACACACACAUACAUACACAUACAUACACACACACACACACACACACACACACACACACACACACAUAUAUAUAUAUAUAUAUAUAUAUAUAUAUAUACAUAUAUACAACGGGCUUCUUUCAGUUUCCGCCUACCAAAUCCACUCACAAGGCUGACACUUGCCCAAGGUGCCACGCAGUGGGACUGAACACGGUAACAUGUAGUUGGCAAGCAAGCUACUUACCACACAACCACUCCUGCGCCUAUAUUAUUUAAAAAGUAUAUAUAUAUAUAUAUAUAUAUAUAUAUAUAUAUAUAUAUAUAUAUAGAUAGAUAGAUAGAUAGAUAGAUACACAACGUUUGAUUUAAGCUGUUAUUUCUAGAAGGAUUGUGGACUGUGUAGAGAGACACAUUCAUAGGCUCUAUAUAUGAAGCUAUCUUUAUUAUUACUUCUAUUACCCGAGCUGAGCUGGAGUUGUGAUUGCAAUUAACCAACUACAGAUAUUAAACAAAUGUAAAACAAUCGAUUCUCAUACGUUUGUCUGACUGUCUGUCUGUCUGUCUCUCUCUAAUUUUGCGUAAUAAUGUGUGUAUGUGCGUGUGUGCGCGUGUGUGUGUGCGUGUGUGUGUGUGUGUGCGUGUGUUGUGUGCGUGUGUUGUGUGUAUAUGCAUUUAUCUGUGAGAAUACUUCAUCCACUCCAUCAAUCCACCAUUUCAUACACACACACACGCAUGUGUAUGUGUGUGUGUGUGUAUACAUAUAUGUGUACGCAGAUAUAUAUAUAUAUAUAUUAGUAUAUAUAUACAAAAUACUAAAUUAUACGUAACUAUAAAUAUAAGGUUGUCCCAAAAGUUCGUAGAAAGUCUUGGAAAAUAAUGGUCUUUAUCUUGAGGAAUAAUUUUUGUUGUUUUUGUUAGUACUUGGCGAGUAAAAAUUCAAUUUUCGCAAGUGUUUACGAACUUUUGGGACAACCUAAUAUAUGUAUAUGCAUAAAUAUAAAUACAUACAUACACACACACAUAACCUGUUGUGUCUUGGAAGAGUCAUUCUCUUUUAGCGCUUUAUAAUUUAACACGUUCACUGACUAAAUUUCCACUCAUUUACUCAUUUAUUUACUCGUUACAUCUUGCAAUCUUUUCAAUAGUUAUUGACUCUGUCCGAUCCAAGCAGACAACUAUUGAAAAGGUUCCAAGACGCAACGAAAAUUUUAGAAAAAUAAAUAAGUAAAUGGGUGGAAGUUUUACUGGUGAGUGUUUAGAAGGCACUAAAAGAGAACGACACAACAGAAUAUGCUUCAAGACACGAAUUCACAUAAAGAAUCUUGCAAACCAAAUCCAACAUCGAGAAUAUAUAUAUAUAUAUAUAUAUAUAUAUAACUUAGAAAGGUUUUGGCCAGUAUUGGCCCAGGCCAUAUCUAACUUAAUAUAUAUAUAUAUAUAUAUAUAUAUAUAUAUAUAUAUAUAUAUAUAUAUAUAUAUAUAUAUAUAUAUAUAUAUAUAUAUAUAUAUAUAUAUAUAUAUAUAUAUAUAUAUAUAUAUAUAUAUAUAUAUAUAUAUAUACAUAUAUACAUAUAUAUAUAUAUAUAUAUAUAUAUAUAUAUAUAUAUAUAUAUAUAUAUAUAUAUAUAUAUAUAUAUAUAUAUAUAUAUAUAUGCACACACACAUAUAUCUAUAUGUAUAUCACUAUUUAUAUAUGUCUCUCCACUCCUUCUCUCUAUCUCUCUUUAUAUAUACUGUACUAGUGUAGAUACAAAAAUUAUACUAUUCCCCACCACAUACAUACACACAUACAUCGUGUGAAGCAAUUUCAUCUCUGUUCUUCAAUCUUGGAUUAUAAUUCUUCUAAAUGGAGAAAUUAAAACAAAGUAAAAAAAAAAAACAACAAACAAAAAAAUAAAGAAAAAUAAUGCAAAACAUUUGUAUUUGUAAAUUGGAAUAGAAAAGAAUUAAAAUAAUUCUGACAAAGGUAGAAGGACCAAAACCGAAUUCUUGACAUUAAAUUAAAUUUGAAAAGUUAAAAAUAUCAACUAAAAAUACAAGAAUUUUAAAAGUGUAAACAAAAAGGUCCAGCUAUGGCUGCGUGGUAAAAAGUUUGCUUCCCAAACACAUGUGUUUGAGUUCAGUCCUAUUGUAUGGCAAACUUGGGCAAGUGUCGUCUAUUAUGGCCUUGGGCCUUGGGCCGUCCAAAGUGUGGAUUUGGUAGACAGAAACUGAAAAAAGGCCUUUGUUUGUUUGUUUGUUUGUUUGUAUGUAUGUAUGUAUGUAUGUAUGUAUGUAUGUAUGUGUGUGUAUGCGUGUGUGCGUGUGUGUGUGUGUUUCUGUCUGUGUUUGUCUCCUACAACCGCUUGACAACCGGUGCCGGUGUGUUUACGUUCCUUUAAUGUAGCAGUUCGAUAAAUGGGGACAAUUUGUUCGAAUAAAAUUCUUCAAGGCCGUGGCCCACCAUGGCUGCAGUCUAAUGACUGGAACAAAUAAGGAGAAAAAAAAAAAAAAAAAAAGAAAUGAAAACCAAAAAAAAAAAAACCCAAAAAAACUGUAAAGAAUAAAAAAGCAAGGAUCAGAUGGCAGAAUGAAGCUGAUAAAAAUAGUAGCAACAACAGCAAAAUUCUAUUUGCUAUCGGAAAAAAAUAAUAAAAAAAUUGGGAAGUAAUUUUUAUAACCAUGUUUUUAGCAGUUUUAUGUGAGCUUCUAGGGCAUCACCUACUGCACGGUUAUGUUCUGGAGAUGUAUUGUAGUAUUGUCUUUUAGAAAUGCAGAACGACGGAAACUAUAUGUGCUUUAUUGUUUAUAUUAUGGGGUGUAUUUUGUUGUUUGUUUCCUGUGUUACUAUAGUGAUUUAAUCUUCCUGUUUUGUAUAAGACUAUGUCGAAAUAGACGAAUGUAAGUUAUGUUACUUUUGGUAGUUGAUGAAUAUUAAGCUGGCGAGCUGGCAGAAACGUUAGCACACCGGGCAAAAUGCUUAGCGGUAUUUCGUCUGCCGUUACGUUCUGAGUUCAAAUUCCGCCGAGGUCGACUUUGCCUUUCAUCUUUUCGGGGUCGAUUAAAUAAGUACCAGUUACGCACUGGGGUCGAUAUAAUCGACUUAAUCCAUUUGUCUGUCCUUGUUUGUCUCCUCUGUGUUUAGCCCCUUGUGGGUAGUAAAGAAAUAGGUAGUUGGUGAAUGUGUUUUUGCGCGAGUUUUGUGUUUUGUAGAGUAUAUUUAGUGUGUAUUUCCUCUUCUUCUUCUUCUUCUUCUUCUUCUUCUUCUUCUUCUUCUUCUUCUUCUUCUUCUUCUUCUUCUUCUUCUUCUUCUUCUUAUUAUUAUUAUUAUUAUAAAUUGGCAGAGUCUUUAGCAUGCCGGGCAAAAUGCUUAGCGGCAUUUCCUCCCCAUCCCUACGUUCUGAGUUCAAAUUCCACCGGGGUCAACUUUGCCUUUCAUCCUUUCGAGGUCGAUAAAAUAAAUAUCAGUUGAGCACCGAGUGGACGUAAUCGACUAAUCUCUUCCCCUGAAAACUGCUGCCCUUUUGGCAAAAUUUGAAACCAUUAUUAUUAUUAUUAUUAUUAUUAUUAUUAUUAUUAUUAUUAUUAUUAUUAUUAUUAUUAUUAUUGAGUGAGAGAGCAGUUCAUGCAAUCAAAGUGACACUGGGGUAAACUAUACGAAGCCCAAAAUACCCAUCAUGACUACCCGUCUGAUAAGGGUACACCAGGCACAUGCAUCACAACCAUAUGUGCACGACAUGGUGAUCUCAUAUCAAGAUAAACAGCGCAUGACCUUGCAGGUGGGGCCCAGUUAGAAUUUUCUUCAGGUUGAGUAGCCCAUCCCGCUCAAAAGGUCCCUGAAUAAGGGUUGUUUAAGGAUGUUGAAAGAACCACCCAUGUUUCCAGAGGUGAAUUAUUUAAACCCCAAAGAAUCCCUCUCAACACAUGGCUAUGAUGCUCCCCCACUACUUCUGCUCGUGAUCAGAGAUGCACAUAUCGUCAGCCACUAAUGGACAUGCUCAACUGGUUAAGGUCAAACAACUGACAAGCAAAUCUGUGGUAUUGAGCAGAAUAUUUGCUGUAGCCCAUCUUUUAUACCAAGACAAAACAAUGUACAUGAUAACACUUCCAAUCAGUUAAGAUCAGAAGCCAUGAGAGCCACUGCCUGGUACUGCAUCAGGGCAUUUAUUAUUAUUAUUAUUAUUAUUAUUAUUAUUAUUAUUAUUAUUAUUAUUAUUAUUAUUAUUAUUAUUAUUAUUAUUAUUAUUAUUAUUAUUAUUAUUAUUGAGUGAGAGAGCAGUGCAUGCAAUCAAAGUGACAGUGGGGUACAAUUAUACGAAGCUCAAUAAUAUACCUAUCAUGACUACCCGUCUGAUAAGGGUACAGCAGGCACAUGCAUCACAACCAUAUGUACGCGACAUGGUAAUCGCAUAUCAAGAUAAACAGCGCAUGACCUUGCAGGUGGGGCCCAGUUAGAAUUUUCUUCAGGUCGAGUAGCCCAUCCUACUGAAAGUUUCUUUGAAUAAGGGUUGUUUAAAAAUGUUGAACGAGACACCCGUGUUUCCAGAGUUGAAUUAUUCAAUUCAAAUCCCAAUGAAUUCCUUUCGACACAUGGCUAUGAUGCUCCCCUGCUACUUCUGCUCGUGAUCAAAGAUGCACAUAUCGUCAGCCACUAAGGGACAUGCUCAACUGGUUACGGUCAAGAAAAUGACAAGCAAACCCAUGGUAUUGAGCAGAAUAUUUGCUGUAGCACAUCUUUUACACCAAAAGAAACCAUAUACAUAAUAACACUUCCAAUUAGUUAAGAUCAGAAGCGAUGAGAGCUAGUGCCUGGUACUGCAUCAAGACAUUUAUCAUCAUCAUCAUCAUCAUCAUCAUCGUCGUCGUCAUCAUUAUCAUUUUAUGUUUGACUUUUGCUUUACAUUUGUACAAGUUGGCUCCAAGUCUCACCCAGAGACCUCAAGAGACAACAAGUUGGAAGUUCAUGUUGGUGUUCUGUCUAGGGUGCUAUAUAUUUGGUUUUGUACUAAGUGUUGUUCUAGAGAAUGUUUAAGAAGCCAUAAGAAAAUUAUGUGUUUGUUUUAAAACUUGAGAUUGCAUAGAAAGUAUUUUGCGUAGGAUAUGGGCAGUUCCUAUAUUCUUUUUCUUCUUCUUCUUCUUCUUCUUCUUCUUCUUCUUCUUCUUCUUCUUCUUCUUCUUAUUAUUAUUAUUAUUAUUAUUAUUAUUAUUAUUAUUAUUAUUAUUAUUAUUAUUAUUAUUAUUAUUAUCAUCAUCAUUAUUAUUAUUAUUAUUAUUAUUAUUAUUAUUAUUAUUAUUAUUAUUAUUAUUAUUAUUAUUAUUAUUAUUAUUAUUAUUUUAUGUUUGACUUUUGCUUUACAUUUGUACAAGUUGGCUCUAAGUCUCACCCAGAGACCUCAAGAGACAACAAGUUGGAAGUUCAUGUUGGUGUUCUGUCUAGGGUGCCAUAUAUUUGGUUUUGUACAUAGUGUUGUUCUAGAGAAUGUUUAAGAAGCCAUAAGAAAAUUAUGUGUUUGUUUUAAAACUUGAGAUUGCAUAGAAAGUAUUUUGCGUAGGAUAUGGGCAGUUCCUAUAUUCUUCUUCUUCUUCUUCUUCUUCUUCUUCUUCUUCUUCUUCUUCUUCUUCUUCUUCUUCUUCUUAUUAUUAUUAUUAUUAUUAUUAUUAUUAUUAUUAUUAUUAUUAUUAUUAUUAUUAUUAUUAUUAUUAUUAUUAUUAUUAUUCAGUAGUUUUAUUUUUAUAGCGUGCUUUCACUUCACUACCGAGCGCAGCUCUGUGUGCCUUGGGUAUGUGCUGUGAUUUGUUGUGAUGCUCUGAUGGUUAUUGUAUGGAAAGUGUUCUGCGUAGGAUGUGUGCAGUGCCUAGUAGUGCAAUUUUCUGUAUGUUAUAUGUGUUUGUAAGUCCUGGUGUUUUUGUUAUGUAUUUGUCUGAAUAUUUUUUUAUCAUGCCUAAUGCACCUAUUAUGAUAGGAAUUGUUUCUGUUUUCAGAUUCCACAUUCUAGUUACCUCUAUUUCCAGGUCUUUGUAUUUUGAGAGUUUCUCCAUUUCUUUUAGAGACACGUUGUCAUCUGCCGGUAUUGAUACAUCAAUUAUUAUUAUUAUUAUUAUUAUUAUUAUUAUUAUUAUUAUUAUUAUUAUUAUUAUUAUUUGAAUGCCUCUCACAGCAUGUGUUCGAUUGUUACGUUUUUCAUAAUCUUAACUAUAGAACGAAAUCGGAGACAUAACUGUAAUCUUUGAAGUAAUCCAAAAAAAUUGAGUUUUACGGUUUCAGCACCCUUAACUAUAGAGCAAAAUUGAAGUCAUAAUCGUUACUUAGGCUUUGUAUUUUCCAGCAAACGAAUCGAAUUUUUCGGACUAAAAUUUAUAGCUCAAAAAGAUAGAUCGACUUACGAACCGAGACAACUUCGGAGGACCAAAAAUUCCAUAUGUAAUACAAAAGGAUUUGGAAAAAAUAAUGACGAUAUUAGAAUUUCGCACUAUAUGUCUAUAUUAUAUACUAUGUACACUUGCUUGCCGGAAAAUCUAUAA
rnacentral:lncRNA from 1 species